AGGAUAUACGGGACAGGCCUCUCCCUAAGCAUAGAGAGACAGUGCUAUCGUGCUGACCUUGAUGCAGAGAAAACAGGAGAAGAAGAAGGAUGAGAAAAGAAUGUGGAAACGGCCAAAUAAGGCACAAUGUUAUCUGGUGUGAACCAAUCAGAGUGGGACAUGACAGCACGGUUUUGUAGGAAAGCUACUCUUGCAGGGGAGCUGGACUCAGUGAUCUCUAGAAUUCCCUUCCAACCCCUCCAAUACUGUGAUACAUAUCAGAUAUUCUACUUUUUGCAUUUGGAUACUCUCCUUUGUAAGCAACUCUGCCAGCUCUUGGGGGAUGAACCAUGUCUGCCUACUACCACUGUGCUCACCCUGCUGCAAUAGGAUGAGGAACCUACAUUUCAGCUCUCCCAUUGCGCUUCUGCAGUCAUAGACAUCUUCAUCCCAUCUUCCAAAGAAGGAGAGGGAGGGAGAAGGAAGAGGACAGAAGAGAAAAAAAUAAAAGUAGACUGGAAAAGUCACUGCUGAAUUCUGUGGGAAGAAGAAAAGAAGCAAGCCAAUGAAAAAAGUAUCGUUAGAGGCAUGGAAAUCAGCUCAACUAAAAUGCAAACAGUUUUUGGUCAAAAUGAUUACAUUUUGCAUCCUUUACAAAAACAAAUAAAAACAAACAACAACAACAACAAAAAUACCCUUGGGUUUCGUUAAGUUAUUCUUAGGCUGCACAUGCUGUACAUGCUGCUGUAAGAGAUUAUUCUUUUAUAUCACUGUUUGUUUGCUGAGGAACAAGUCCAGGCAAGUCCUGGGCAAAGGUAGAGAAACCUUCUGUCUGGAGGACACUGAUGGAGAGGUCCUGGGUAAAGGGUUGUGAAAUCCUCUAAUGAGCACAGAUGGACAAGGCCAGGGGCAAUGAGAGAGGGAUAAGCUGCUGAUAAUGGCCGGGAAAUGGUCUUUUGUGUGGACUUAUCUCGAGGAAGAUGGCCAUCUCAGGAGGUAUGCACAGGACUCUUGCUCAAGCCCCCAGGAAUGUCACGUAGGCAGCAGAAAAUGGAGGAUAAAAGAGGGUCCAAUAACCACAACGGGGGAAGCUGAUCCUUCACCACAACCACGGCAACGGGAGAGGCUUAUCUCUCACCACGACAGACUUGAGGGGUUCUCUCUGCCAACUGAUCUCUCACCGCAACGUGGAGAUGGAUC
ensembl:lncRNA